GAUGAACGCUGGCGGCGUGCCUAAUACAUGCAAGUCGAGCGAACAGACGAGGAGCUUGCUCCUCUGACGUUAGCGGCGGACGGGUGAGUAACACGUGGAUAACCUACCUAUAAGACUGGGAUAACUUCGGGAAACCGGAGCUAAUACCGGAUAAUAUAUUGAACCGCAUGGUUCAAUAGUGAAAGACGGUUUUGCUGUCACUUAUAGAUGGAUCCGCGCCGCAUUAGCUAGUUGGUAAGGUAACGGCUUACCAAGGCAACGAUGCGUAGCCGACCUGAGAGGGUGAUCGGCCACACUGGAACUGAGACACGGUCCAGACUCCUACGGGAGGCAGCAGUAGGGAAUCUUCCGCAAUGGGCGAAAGCUUGACGGAGCAACGCCGCGUGAGUGAUUAAGGUCUUCGGAUCGUAAAACUCUGUUAUUAGGGAAGAACAAAUGUGUAAGUAACUAUGCACGUCUUGACGGUACCUAAUCAGAAAGCCACGGCUAACUACGUG
rnacentral:rRNA from 1 species